rnacentral:misc_RNA from 1 species
UUAAGUUCAGCGGGUAGUCCCGCCUGAUUUGAGGUCAAGUCAAAAUGAAAGUUGUCCGAAGACCGUUCGAAGCAUGUCCUGCAGAGUCGAGCCCCCACGGCGUAGUUAGACUAUCACACCGAGGACCCAACAAAGGUCACGCUAAUGCAUUUAAGAGGAGCCGAUCUCAAACCCCGGUCAGGGAAGAAAGUUACCGGCAA